rnacentral:tRNA from 3 species
GGGCUCUUAGCUCAUCCGGUAGAGCUCCCGGCUCAUAACCGGGCGGUGGUAGGUUCGAGUCCUACAGAGCCCACCA